AAAAAAAAGGUGCCUGAGAAAAUUGACGGAUGAGCUCUUUGUUGUCAUCUUAGGGAGGUCUCUAGUGAUAUGCCACAGGGCUCUGCCAGAUUCUCAUUUUCAUCAGAAGCUACCCUGGGCAUCUCUGGGGUAUGUAUCCACUAUGUAGGUGACAGAAUGGGAUGUGCCUGCCCUUGCUUUAUGAGAGUGGAGAGACUGAGCCCCGUGGACAGUUGCCUGCCUGAGGUCAGUGUUUGUGGGGUGGGCCGUCAGAGGGAGCAGUUCCCUCAAGGUCCAGAGGUUUUUGGAGCCUGUGGCAAAGAGGAUAAUGGUUUCCUCCAGAGGCGUGCGUGUCCCUAAACCCCAGAGCCUGGGGUGUUUUUAUGUUCUAUGGCAAAGGGGAAUUAAGAUUGCAAAUGGAAUUAAGGAUGCCAGUCAUUUGACCUUGAGAUGGGGAUGUUACCUGGAUAAUCCAGGUGGGCUCAGAGUCAUCGCAAGUGUCCUUAUUCCGAGGAAGCCGGAGGUUAGUCCCAGAGGUUUGAAGAUGUUGUGCUGCCAGCUUUGAGGAUGGAGGAAGGGGCAAGGAGCCCAGGAGUGCAGGCAGCCUCUAGAGGCUGGAAAAAAACAAGGAAUUCAUUUUUCCCAAGAGCUGGCAGCAGGAACACAGCCCUGCUGACACCCUGAUUUUAGCUGUGUACGAUCCACUUCGGACUUCUGACUUCCAGAACUACGAGAUGAUAAAUAUACUUGCACUGCUUUAGACCACCAUGUUUGGGAUCAUUUGUUACAGCAUCGAGAAGAAACAGCCGGCACUUGCCCCGAGAACCCCCAGCAGCCAGGUGCAACCCAGUCAUUGAGAACCUGUGUGUCCCUGCCGCCAGUGACUAUGGAAUCAAGUGACUUUGCAGUGUCUUGGCCUUGACCUGGGGCUGUGGGUGAGAGACACAGAGUGAAGAGAGGGCCUGCAAACUGUAAAGGGCUGUCUAUGCCGGAGAAGAAAAUGAGAUGUGGAGUUUCCUUGUGGCGUAGCCGGUUAAUGAUCCUGUGUUGUCACUGCAGCGGCUUGGGUUGCUGCUAUGGUGCAGGUUUGAUUCCCUGGCCUGAGAACUUAUGAAUGCCAUGGGUAGGGCCAAAAUUUUUUUUUUUUUUUUUUUUUUUUGUCUUUUUGCCAUUUCUUGGGCUGCUCCCACGGCAUAUGGAGGUUCCCAGGCUAGGGGUUGAAUCGGAGCUGUAGCCACCGGCCUACGCCAGAGCCACAGCAACGCGAGAUCCGAGCCGCGUCUGCAACCUACACCACAGCUCACGGCAACGCCGGAUCGUUAACCCACUGAGCAAGGGCAGGGACCGAACCUGCAACCUCAUGGUUCCUAGUCAGAUUCGUUAACCACUGCGCCACGACGGGAACUCCCAAAAUUUUUUUUUUUUUAAAUGAAGUAAAAAAAAAAUCUAGAAGCAGAGAGAUAAUCAUUUGGAAGUUUUGAAGCAGGGAAAGAGUGGUGUGAAGUAGGGAUAUGUGUUUGUGUGUUUUUUCUCCUCUUUCUUUCUUUCUCUCGCCACACUUAUGGUACAUAGAGGUUCCUAGGCUAGGGGUUGAAUCAGAGCUGUAGCCGCUGGCCUACACCACAGCCACAGCAAUGCCAGAUCCGAGCUGCAUCUGCGACCUACACCACAGCUCAGGGUAGCAUUGGAUCCUUAACCCACUGAGCGAGGCCAGGGAUUGAACCUGCAUCCUCACGGACACUCUGGGGGGGUACAUAACCUGAUGAGCCACAGUGGGAACUUCUCUCUUUUUUUUCUUAAUUCCUUCAAAUCCAGCGGGGUACCUGGUUCCAGUGAAGGGCCAGAGAAAAAAAAUGUGCCCCUAGGCUGUCCCCCCACCCAUGAUGAGCCACAGAUGAUUCUCCUUGGUGGGGUCUCCCAUGCCACAGCUGCGUCCCUAAGGAGCAGGUGCCCCGCGCUCUGGGAACAGACCCCUGAUGCCACAUGCUGCUUGCUUCCCGGCUUUAUUGAAAAGAGGAAGAAAAUGGCCCACGCCUUCGGCCCCGAAGGCCUCUGGGCCUGCGUCCAGAAACCUGAAGCCUGCAAUUAAAUGAAACUGGAUCCUAGGUGGGGAGAGCUUCUCCCGCCUGAGUGGAGAGGCUCUGGAGACCAGGCCCUGGGGACCCGCUGCUCAUGGAUGAGCUGUGUGGGGUCAGGGGUGGGGGGGCAGAAGGCUACCAUGGAGAGAGGGGAGGAAGAUUCCAACCAGCCUCCAACUAGGAGGUGGACCACAGGCCACCAGGGAGGAGGCUGCCUUUUAUUUAAAAAGAAAAAGAUGACAGGUGACCUUCUGGUCGCUUGAGUCCCCUCCCUGCCACUUCUCCCUCGGACAUGUGCUUUUCUGAAAAUGUUGUCAUAUUUGCGCGGGCCUGUGCGUGGUUUCCUGCACAGCCUGGGGCCCCGACUCAUCUCUAGGCUGGAAAAAUGCACAAAUGCACGUGGAUGUGUCUUCCUGUGUGUGCGGUGCUGCAGUUUGCUAUUAGAAUGAGCCCUAGGCCUCUGCCGGUUUUGUAGGUCAAAAGUGGUCGAAUAUUGACAGCUUUUUAUAUAACUCAACCUAGUAAUUUCCUCUCCAUGUUGAGACAGGCAAGCGGACCCAAGUGGUUACCAGCAGGGAUUUUGAUGGCGUGGGUUCCCAUCCCCCAUGGCAUGUCGCUCGGUGCCUCAGUUUCCCUAUAAAUAGAGACUGAAACAGUACCUAUUUUCUACGAUUGUUUUGAGGAUGAGAAGUGU
rnacentral:lncRNA from 1 species